rnacentral:rRNA from 1 species
CAGCAGCCGCGGUAAAACGUAGGUGGCAAGCGUUGUCCGGAAUUAUUGGGCGUAAAGGGCUCGCAGGCGGUUUCUUAAGUCUGAUGUGAAAGCCCCUGGCUCAACCGGGGAGGGUCAUUGGAAACUGGAAACUUGAGUGCAGAAGAGGAGAGUGGAAUUCCACGUGUAGCGGUGAAAUGCGUAGAGAUGUGGAGGAACACCAGUGGCGAAGGCGACUCUCUGGUCUGUAACUGACGCUGAGGAGCGAAAGCGUGGGGAGCGAACAGGAUUAGAUACCCCUGUAGUCCCUGUCUCUUAUACA